CUACGGGUCGCAGCAGUGAGGAAUAUUGCACAAUGGGGGGAACCCUGAUGCAGCAACGCCGCGUGGAGGAUGACGCAUUUCGGUGUGUAAACUCCUUUUAUAUGUCAAGAAAGUGACGGUAGCAUAUGAAUAAGCGCCGGCUAACUCCGUGCCAGCAGCCGCGGUAAUACGGAGGGCGCAAGCGUUACUCGGAAUCACUGGGCGUAAAGGACGCGUAGGCGGGUUGGAAAGUCAGGUGUGAAAUCCUACAGCUUAACUGUAGAACUGCACUUGAAACUUCUAAUCUAGAGUAUGGGAGGGGGAGAUGGAAUUAGUGGUGUAGGGGUAAAAUCCGUAGAUAUCACUAGGAAUACCUAAAGCGAAGGCGAUCUCCUGGAACAUUACUGACGCUAAGGCGUGAAGGCGUGGGGAGCAAACAGGAUUAGAUACCCGAGUAGUC
rnacentral:rRNA from 1 species